UUUGGUCCAAAAAAGUUACUUUUUUGUCAAUUUUAUAUAUUUUCAUGAAAAUGUCAUGCUCUGCUCAUCUUAACUCCUGGUGAAGUGAUAAAAAGGACCAUUAUCUCUGUAACUGCCUACAAUAGCAGUGCAUAUUUUCAUGUAGUACACCUUUCGUUUUGGUUCAUACCGCCAAGGACAUUAAGAAUGUAGGCAGAACUAUAUGUCUGCAAAGGUUUCCGGGGGGACCCAUUAUAUGCACGGAUUAUACAAGUAGUAGAAAGUUCGGUUGUCACAGCUUUCUGAAGUUAUGGCCAAGUGUUAAAAGGUGUUUUAAUCUGUCAAGAAACACUCCAAAGGAAGCUAUUCCCUCCCUGUGUUAUUUAAUGCAGCCAGUGAGUUCUCACGUUUAGGAAUAAAUCCUAAUCAGUGAUGUUAAGAACAGUUGUGCUGUCAUCAUUAUAUCAGAGGGAGGCACAAUCUCAACAAAUUACCAUCAACAUUUCUAUUAUCACCUCACACAAGCACACAAAACACACACAAACUGUGUGCUAUCUAAGAUCUUUUGGUACUUUUCAAUGGGAAGUUGCUCUGUAUUAGACUAAAUGAGUGUUUCCCUUAAACACAAUACAUACAUGCAUGCAUGAACACACGGCGCACACAAACAAGAAGAUGGAAGAUGAAUGCAAGCUCCAGCUCAUCUGGCCAAAUCAAGCUUGAUGGAACUCGAUGUAUAUGGCUGUAGAGAGAGUCUCAUGGAUCUUGCAACAGGAUGGGGAAGAGGCCAUCAGGAAUGUCUGAACAAUUCAGUGUGAUAAAGCUGAGUCCGGCUGGAAUCAACUUCUUGAACGAGUAUUGUUUUGUCAUGAAGCCUGCGGUGAAGGCUUUAAACAUCCUUUAGUCUCAGACAAACACACACAUGGAAUGGCUACUUCCUGUGAUCUUCUGGCUACAAGCAAAAUUCAGAAGAAUGAAAGCUUCCUCCAAGAUGUGUCUGCCACUCAUCAGAGACAUUCAGGAUGGUGGGGUGAUGGAAGACCUCGAGCUAAUAGCCACGCCAAUCCUUCUGCCACAGUUCAAUGUGCAGCUUAAGAGUAGGCAUUCAUGAGCAGACGAUGAGUUUGUCCAUACAUCUGCAAAUAUAUAUCAAACACAAAACACGAGAAUCCUCUGACUGUAGACAAACAAGACCUUGUAGUAUAUCCUCAUAGUAUUUAAAAAUGGCGAUAGGGUUUUUAUUGUACCAACAUACCAACCACUUGCAUCUUUAGACAAAUGAUAUGAAAGACCAUGCAUUGUUUUGUUUUGCACAGGUGAUUAUGCUACACCCUUGUGGCCAGGAUUUACUGUUAUUUUAAUACAGAACUGCCGCAAGUUUGAAUAAAAUAUCAAUUGAUAA